GCGGUGGUGGUUCUGUGGUAGAAUUCUCGCCUUCCAUGUGGGGGACCCAGGUUCAGUUCCCGGCCAGGGCA
rnacentral:tRNA from 1 species